AUUUAUUUAGUAUAUUAAAGUACAUUUGAUUUCCAAUUAAAUAGUCUAUAAUUUUAGAAUAAAUA
rnacentral:tRNA from 1 species